rnacentral:rRNA from 1 species
UACGAAGGGGACUAGCGUUGUUCGGAAUUACUGGGCGUAAAGCGCGCGUAGGCGGAUCGCUAAGUCAGGGGUGAAAUCCCAGGGCUCAACCCUGGAACUGCCUUUGAUACUGACGAUCUGGAGAUCGGGAGAGGUUGGUGGAAUUCCGAGUGUAGAGGUGAAAUUCGUAGAUAUUCGGAGGAACACCAGAAGCGAAGGCGGCCAACUGGCCCGAUACUGACGCUGAGGCGCGAAGGCGUGGGGAGCGAACGGG